rnacentral:tRNA from 1 species
GGUGGCUCAGUGGUAGAGCGCUUGCCUCACAAGCAUGAGGCCCUGGGUUCGAUUCCUCAGUACCA